AUCUCAUAAUUGUUACAUUGAUUGAGUGUUGGUUUUGGUGGAUGAUUAGGGUUGCAGAAAGUAGGGAAAGGGAAAUUUCCAAGAACUACGUGAAAAUUAAAUAGUGAAGAUUUUAAUUGUUGAUUAUUUUGUCUCGCCGUUUCUUAUAAUUUCUUUGGUAAUUUAUUAUAGUUUUGCAUGUAUUAGCUUCACUUGUAGCACGUCUUAAACUUUUGAAACAAACGUGCUUUAGAGGCAUAACAUGGAGGGUGAUAAUUUUGAUCCCUUGACUAUGAUAGGGAAGGGUGCAUUUGAUGAAGCUACUAGUGGUUGCUUAUAAUAUAAUUUAUUUUUUAAAUUAUAAUAUGAAAGCUUCUCUCAGAAACUACUAAUAUUUUGCAAUGUUAGUCUGCCUUUUGGGAUUUCAUGUAAUUAUUUCAGUAUUUCACGCUUUAUUUUUAAAAAUUAUCAUGGAGGGUUGAUGCUUAAAAAGGGAUUGGUGAUAAAUUUGUGAUUAAACAGAGCCAGAAAUAUUCCUUUGAAUAUGAUCCUGAAUCUUAGAGGCAGCAAACAACCAUAAGUGGCUUCCAUUUUCACUUUUCCCUCAAAUAUUAUAAAUGGAAUGGGCAUAAAUAGGUUCGAGAUUCCUGAAAUAUAUCCGAAUUUUGUAAUUGAUCUCUGAAAAAAAAUAUUUUCGUUGGAUCUCUAAAACUUCAAAAGUUUUGUAUGAGAUCCCAUUAGUCUUCGUCUAAAACAUGAUGACAAUACACGUAUAAAGCCACGUCAGUAUUUAUUCUUUUUUUUUCCUUUUUUCCCCUCCCUUUCCAAACUUGCCCCUGGUUUGUUUUUUCUCUCUUUGUCCCUUCUUCCUCCCCUUUCAGAUCUGAGAUGCCCUUCAUCUCUCCAUCUGAGUUGCUCCCCCAUUACACCAAUGGUCCAACAAGGAAAUACUCCGACAUUAAAUCGCAAUGCGGUCAUGGAAGUAUAGUUGCUAUGGAGCACGUCUCAGAAGUUCAACCACACAGACGAUGAUGCAGAGGAACAGUGAUUCUGACGUCGGCAUUCUCAUCGGAUUUGUAGGUGGUCGUCGAUGGCGACAUUGGAAUCUAGAAGGAUCUUCUCCGUCAUUGGCACCAGUUGGAAAAUGAUUGCUCCACGUGACCAUUGCCUCGUCGUCUCAGACGAGCAACGAAGUGUGGCGAUAGUGCUCUCCAGAUCCAAAUCGUGUUGCAGCAUCUCAAAGCACUAUCACUUCUUGAGAACGUGUCUCAUGGCCCAGCCAUUGAUGGCCAUGGAGAAGCAAUGGAUCUAUCAGUGGCAAAGAGGCAUUUGUAAUGCAGAGACAAAGUGGGGAUGACGAAGGUGCAGUGGUACGCCAUGUAAUUAAUAUCUCUGAUGUGGUUCCGCACGUAUAUCGCUGACAUGUUCAACAAACAGACACAUCAUCACAGGAGACUAAUGGCAAGGAUCUCCCACAAAACUAUUGAAUUUUCAAGGAUCAGUUGCAAAAUUUGGUUAUUUUUAAGGAAUCUCCAACAUAUUUAAGCCAACGGAAUGAGUUUAAUUUAUGUUUAAGCUCAUGCCAAUUGGAUUGGAGCAAAAGAAGUCAUUUGAUUUUCUUGUAUUAAGAUUGCAAAAAUUGAAAAAAGUGUUUGUUCUGAGAUGCAAUAUACAUUUGCUUGUUGGUCAUAUCAUUGGGCAAAUCCUGCAAUUCCUAGAAUAUUUCCAAAUAUUGUUUCUACUGCAUACAAGUCAGACAUUGUUUGUUUCUUUUUUCCCAGAUCUGGUUAUGCAGUGCGAUGUUUUUAUUAAUUUCAUCACUACAUUCUUGUUUC